rnacentral:rRNA from 1 species
UACGUAGGUGGCGAGCGUUUGUCCGGAUUUACUGGGCGUAAAGAGCGCGCAGGCGGCUGGUCAAGUCCGAUGUGAAAGCCCCCCGGCUCAACUGGGGAGGGUCACGCGAUACUGCUCGACUUUGAAGGCAGGAGAGGGAAGUGGAAUUCCCGGUGUAGUGGUGAAAUGCGUAGAUAUCGGGAGGAACACCAGUGGCGAAGGCGACUUCCUGGCCUGUUCUUGACGCUGACGGCG